rnacentral:misc_RNA from 1 species
UAGCCGUAGGUGAACCUGCGGAAGGAUCAUUAACCAGCCGUGAAGGUCGCCCCCAAAGGGCAACGACCUUUCACCCGGCCACCCUUGCUUACUUUAACCUGUUGCUUUGGUGGGCCCGCCGUAAGGCCGCCGGGGAACUUGAGCUCCCUGGCCCGUGCCCACCAAAGUCUUAACUGAACUCUGCAAGUUUUAUGUUGUCUGAGUGUGAAAGCACAAACCUUUUAAAACUUUCAACAACGGAUCUCUUGGUUCCG